rnacentral:lncRNA from 13 species
AUGGAAAUGGGCAGAAAUGAACAGAAAUAGAUGGAAAUGAACGGAAAUCAAAGGAAAUGGACAGAAAUGGACAGAAAUGGAUGGAAAUUGACAGAAAUGGACAGAAAUGAACAGAACUGAGAUCCUGCUCUGGUCUAAGCAAUAAAACAGAACUGUAAAUACAAAUAAUUAACAAGCAGUUGGUGGUGAUUUAAGUUAAUCCCUUAUUUCCCCUUCAAUCUCAUAAUUAUCCAAUGAAAAAAACCACCCCCAAAUGUCAUCCCUUUAUCUGGAAAUUGGAUUCCAGGUGACAGCUCAGAAACUGCUCCAAAAUAGGAAUUCCAGGAUCCAAACCAGCCUUAAAUUCGUGCAGUAAUUCCCAAAUUUUAGCCUGUUUAUUUUCCUGCCCGCUGUUGUUGGUUGUUCUCUUCCAAGCCUGGCAUUGCCCCGAUAAAAUCUGGGGAAGAAUGAGGGAUGAAGAUCGUGUUCUGCCCCAAUCUGGGAUAAUGACACCGAUGAUUUCCUCUCUGCCAAGCGACUUCGGAGCCCAAUUUGGAAAAUUAUAGGGAAGAGCAAAGCAGCUGCAGCAGCUUCCUCUGAUUUCAUCUCCAUAUGCAAAGCAGCCGGGAAGGAUCAGAGCAGAGCCCUGGAAUUCCUAAAGCCAGAAAAUCAAUUUACCGACAACAACAACAACAACAUCAUCAACAACAACAACAACAACAACAAUCAGCAUGCCAGGAAAAAACAGGAUGAGGAAUCUCCCAGAUAUAUCUCUGGAGUUGGUUUGUUUGAGGAUAUAAAAGUGCUCCUGCCUGGCGGCCCUGGAGCUGCCUCUGCUGACUCGUCCUCCUCGCUGACUGGGUAAGUCGGGUUUAACUGAAUCAGCUCCUAAUUAGACAUAAUUUGGUUUAUCAGCGUAGAGUUUAUUCUCCAAACCCGUUUUACAUGGGAAGUGGGACUUGGGAUUAAGGUGGAUAAAGGGGGAAAAGGAACAGGAGUUAUAAAAACGUUGAUGGGAGGAAUUUUUAGGAAGUGAGCAUUUAUUUUUGGAGAGGGGUCAUUCCAAACCCAAGAUUAGGGUGGGAUUGAUUCCCAAAAGGAACGGGAAAGGGAAUGAUGUGGGAAAAGGACAGGGAGGUUCUUCUCAGAAUUCAUUCUGGGAAUAGAUACAGGGCAAAAAUACAGAGACGCUUUGGGGUGACCCAACUGUGGCCUUCCAGGACCUGAAGGAGCUACAAGGAACAUGGGGAGAGACUUUUUCCAAGUGCCAGGAAAAGGGAGAGUGGGUUCACAGUGACGGACAGGAGGUUUAGAUGGGAUUUUAGGGAUAAAUCCUUCCCUGUGAGGGUAGAGAGGCCCUGGAGUGAGAUUCCCAGAGAAGCUGUGGCUGCCCCAUCCCUGGAAUUAUCCAAGGCCAGGUUGGAUGGGGUUUGGGGUCUGUGGAAAAAAUGUCCCUGCCCAUGGCAGGGGUUGGAACUGGAUCUUUAAGGUCCGUUCCAUGAUUCCAUGGAGCCCUAGAGAGGAGUGGGAGGAGAAUUAGAAGCAUUUCCCCACAGUUCAUCUCCCUUGAUUGGUGCAAUUCAUGGAGAAGUGGAUUGUGCCCUAGAAAGGAUGGGUUUUAAAUUGUUAUUUUAAUUUUCUAACCACAAACUCAUUUAUUUAGAUGAUUUAACCCCACAUAUCUGCACCUGUCCAUCCAAACAAAUCCCCAUUCCCAUAACACAACUCCCUUUCCAGCAAAUUCCAAGGGGAAUCAUCUCCCAUACACCUCCCAUUUCCUACUGGCUAUCUCAGUCUCACCCCUAAGAAUUUAAGGACAAAACCACCUCUUUUUACCUGCAUUUCCUCCCUCACGGAGAAGUUUGGGGGCAUUUAUACCUCUAAAAGGUGGUGAUUCAAGGAUUAAACACACAAAUAACUCUGAAACCGAGGAAUUCAGGAAUUCUUCCCCAUCCUUCCAAUCCUCUGGCUCUGCCUCCACCGGGCUGGGACCUUCUCUUCCU